UGCAUCUUCUCUUUCAACAUUAACAGCUUGUUUGGUUCAAUGUAAUAGGUAAACCAUUACAAUUCUAUUCAAUGUGCCCACCACAAACAAUAGUUUGGUUGAGUGGAAUACCCUGUUACGGGUGUAUUCCAUUACAGCCUUAUACAGAGAAUAGAGAGCAUUUCUAUUCCCUCUCCUCCCCACCGAAUGGUCAUUCGUUGUUCAGAAAAUCAUUCAUCUCCCCAAUUUCUCACCUUCUUUCCUUCCUUUCUUCCUUAACCUCUAACCAGUAGAACUCCUCUCACUUAUCUCCUUCUUGUAAACAUUUUCCUCUAUUCUUUUGUUCCUUUCAUUUUCCUAUCUACAAAUUUUUCUUAGCCUAAAAUUUUUCUUCUCUUUUUGUUAUCCAUUUGAGUAGAUUUUUCUUUCUUCGCCUUCAUCGGAGUCUUCUUCAGAUAACUGGAGUGUUAAGGCAAUCCGAAAAAAGACCACUGGAAUUGGUAGGAUGAUGUAUCUUCGCCAUGUUCCUCGUAGGUUCAAGAUUCGUUUCAGAGAAAGUACUGAAGCAGCACCGAAGAAGAAGGUUGCAGCAGCUUUGGCUUAAGUUGGCUAUGAGGUUGUUUUGAUGAAUCCAUCCAUUUUAGGAAAAGUUUUAUGGGAACAUUACAUGAGAAAUGUCAUUUAUUAUAUUGAAUGCUUUUAAAUAUUUGUAGUUUCUAUUUUCAUGUAGCUGCUUAGGCUAUUGUUGCUUGACACUUAAUUACUGGAUAUUUUUGUGGAUGAAGUUAAUCAUGUGCUUGUUUCGGUUAUGAUGCCCUUCAUCUUGUUUCAAA